rnacentral:rRNA from 1 species
CCUACGGGGGGCUGCAGUGGGGAAUAUUGCACAAUGGGCGCAAGCCUGAUGCAGCCAUGCCGCGUGUGUGAAGAAGGCCUUCGGGUUGUAAAGCACUUUCAGCGGGGAGGAAGGCGGUGAGGUUAAUAACCUCAUCGAUUGACGUUACCCGCAGAAGAAGCACCGGCUAACUCCGUGCCAAGCAGCCGCGGUAAUACGGAGGGUGCAAGCGUUAAUCGGAAUUACUGGGCGUAAAGCGCACGCAGGCGGUCUGUCAAGUCGGAUGUGAAAUCCCCGGGCUCAACCUGGGAACUGCAUUCGAAACUGGCAGGCUAGAGUCUUGUAGAGGGGGGUAGAGUUCCAGGUGUAGCGGUGAAAUGCGUAGAGAUCUGGAGGAAUACCGGUGGCGAAGGCGGCCCCCUGGACAAAGACUGACGCUCAGGUGCGAAAGCGUGGGGAGCAAACAGGAUUAGAUACCCCGAGUAGUC